rnacentral:misc_RNA from 1 species
AACGCACAUUGCGCCCUCUGGUAUUCCGGGGGGCAUGCCCGUUCGAGCGUCAUUACACCUCUCAAGCCUAGCUUGGUGUUGGAGGAUCUGCGGCGGUCUCCCGUCCGCACCUCUCGAAUUAACCGGCCGAGUCAGUCGUUUCUCCGGCGUUGUGCAUUUUUUUCCAAAUGUCGCCUGUCAGAAAUCGAAGGACGUCCGUCUGCCGUUAAGCCCCUUUCUUACCAAAGGUUGACCUCGAAUCGGGUAGGGAUACCCGCUGAACUUAA